rnacentral:lncRNA from 1 species
ACAUAGUUGUAGAAAAGGACACUGUUCGGCUUUUGACGCAGUUCGUUUGUCGUGGUGUUCAAUAUUAUUAUAUUAUUAUUAUAUAUAAAGCGAGCACAAUAAUAUCGUCUUGUCCGUCACCGCAGUGCGCAAAAUAAUACACACACACACACACACGCGAGUGUUCUGAAGGGAGAGAGGAACCCCCCCCCCGUAAUACCUGCUGUCGUUAUAAUAUUUUAUUAUCCCUAGAUAUUAUAUAAUAUUAAACAUUCAUUUUUUCGUAUUUCUUGUUUUCUCGCCGACAACGCUGUACUAUUAUCGUAUAUAAACUCGAGCCAUUAUUAUUAUUAUUAUAAUACUAUCGUAUCCUCCGGCCGCACGUCAUUUAUUCGAGAAAAAAACAAUAUUGUUAUUAUUUGAACACCACAGACGCCUAUGUGUAAAACGACCGGAUGCCGGAGACCCCGUACGAGUGAACGGGGAAAAGCAGCUGCGGCGACCAUACAUUUUACGUCUGCCGAGCGGGCAAUACGUACACGUUUUAUUGAUUAACCCGUGUGAAAUAUUUGUUUACGCCGUGAUAAUACUCUGGGACAAAUACGCAUUAUUGUCAUAACGCGUAACGCAAUAUUACCGUAAAGCGUUUCUAUAUAAUAACCGGACGGUGUAACUUUCACGGGGCACACAAAUAUUUCGCACGGAUUGAUCUAUGCGAUUUAUUCAUGUAGACAAUAUACAUAAUGAUGAAUUAGCUACAUUCUAUCGGUUAGUUAUCGGCGUUUCCGAAUCUUUUCGCUCACUCGCCAAUAAUGUAUAGGUACACUGCGUGAACAAUUAUUCGACAAUUAUUCUUCCACUGAGUUAAUUCGAUUAUCGUUGAUGUCGGUUUUCCACUAUAGGCAUAGCGACAAAAUAGUAUUCAUCUUCCUUAUUCGGAAACGAUUUCAUCCUGUGCAGUAACGGUUCUUCUACUUGAAACGAGCCGCAGGCGCGAAUCUUCGAUUUCGUAUCAGUCUGAUCAAAAAUCUAUGAUAUGGAUAACACGAUACUAUGUGUAACUGUAUUUCACUGUUAGACCAGACCGGACACUGCGCCAAAGUAGUCAGUGUCCCGAGUGUAAACAAAAAGCUUUAGCCGAUCGAAAACAACGACAGGUUUUGGACGAACCGAGAAAGAAUAAAACACGGCAAAUUUAAUCCAUGCGAUCGGCUGAUUCGGACCCGACAAAAAUAUCGAUGACACGGAGACGCCAUCAGGACAUGUGACGGGUCGGUGACGGUACACGGUAUCUGGUCGGAACCAAUGACCCGACCAAUAUACCUGGCCGAUCAGACCUUUCGAUUUGCAUUUGUGGCCCGUUUCUAAUAGGGAACUCGUUUAAUUCGCUGCCCGCCACGUACGGGAACUGCACACGAUGCACGCCAUGGCCCAAGUCCAUUGUGUAUUAUCUACGGGGAUUUGUCCUCGUCUAAUGGGUGUAGAAUUUAUGUACGUGUGGCGCUACCCGACUCCAUAAUAGUAUUGUCGCUUGCGGGACCUCUGUCGGCGGUCCGGUCGUCUUGCGUACCUAACUAUGUUAAAACAUUACAUUACUAUUACACUUGUAUUUUAUGCAGCGCGUUUUUAAGAUUAAAACAAAAUAAAAUAUUACGUGUUAUUUGUAAAUAUCGAAAUACU